UAUGUAGGCCAUACCACCCUGAACAUGCUCAGGCUUAUCUGGUCCCAUGGCCUAAGCAGGGUUGGGCCUGGUUAGUACCUGGGUAGGAGAGCUGAGCAUUGAACCACAGGGUGUUUGGGAAGACAAGCUCCUUUAUUU
rnacentral:rRNA from 1 species